CUUGAUUGUAUGUAUGAGCUAGAUGGAUAAAAGUCAAUCCAAUGUAAUACUCAUUUUAUACAAACCUUCAGGCUCAAUGAAACCAAUACUAUUUAUGUCUAUUUAAUCAAUUGAUCAUAUGGUACUGUAAAAGCCUCUCCCAUGGGCGAUAUUGGUUCUUGUGGUAAGAAACAAUAUAUUUGAGCUGAUCUGCAUGCAACACAAGCCCUAACCCUCAAACACUAAUGUUCGUUGUGCAUACCACUUAGGACAAUGCAACCCAGCCUUGCUGUUAACCCAUUAAGCGCCAGCACUCUCCCCUUGAUGAGUAAAAUCGUCUGGCAUUAGACAGAGUUAAAUAAUCUGGCGUCAGACAGAGUAAAAUAAUAAAGUAGGGCGCAUCAGGGCGCAAUGGGUUAACUAGACACAUAGGUGGAUAGGCUAGUUAACCCAUUAAGCGCCAGUGCUCUCCCCUUGACGAGUAAAAUUAUCUGGCAUUAGAUGGAGUAAAAUAAUAAAGUAGGGCGCAAUGCGACUCAAUGGGUUAAAUAGUUAUAGGCUGGUAAUAAUAGUUAAAUAGUUAUCAGCUCAGUUAUGGCUGUAACUUAGAUGUGUAUUGAUUGCUGAGCUAAAUUAAAAUGUAUACAGGCUAUUUAACAACAUACUGUACUAGUGAAAUUUCCAUUUCAUCUUUUGCACAUUCACAUAGCAUGUUCAAAAAGUUAUGCAUAAUUUACAUUAAUUACAAAUGUUGCGGUAAGACUUGCAGUACCAACUGAGCAAACACGAAAUUCAACCCAAAUGCCAAAAUGAAUUUCUUGGUGGUUACCCAUUGGAGAGUCAUGAAUUUCAAGUGCUUAGUUAAAGAAAAAAACCCAGAUUUGCUGAGUCAAAUGAAUAUCGUAAUGAAGAAUCUCGUAACACAGACACUGUUACGGAUAAAGAAUAUUUCUGCUUACAAUCGGUCUUAAGCAUCUGUGAUGGGCCUAUACAUGGGGGCUUAUAUAUGGAUGACAUUUGAUGUUAUAGUAAUAAUAUUUAUUGUACCUGUACCUAUAUACUGUACUGUGAACGAAAAGAAAUAUAAAAUACAGUAUAUAACACAUAAUAAAACAAGUUGGUUAACAUGUUAUGAUAUAUGUACUAUUAGUAAUGUAAUUAUCGUCACUCGUCUGAGCUGUUGUAAUCCCUGUCACUGCCUUAAUAAAUACCUGUCCAAUAAUAAGGCAGGUGGCUUAUGCAUGGGGGGCUUAUAUAUUUGGGUUAUAUAUAGACUGGCAUAUGCACUAGUAAAUAUGGUGGACUUAUACACAGGGGGUUAUAUUGGGGGGAGGCUUUAAUUCGGAGGUUUACAGUGUGACAAAAAAGCAACCGGGGGUUUUAUUUAUGAGACAAUGAUUGGCUUAAUAUCCCAAUGGAUACUACUGUAAGCUUAUGACGUCCAAUAGUCCAAAUUUAAAGCAUGAUAUCCGGUGGUUAUGACUGCAAAUGAAUUCUUGUGUAUAACAACAUACUGUAGUAGGAGGAAGAAUUGUGUUGACUGGAAACUUUCAGUAGAGUGACACUCUUAAAAUGAUACAGAACAUAUACGAUAGUCCGCUUUGUCGCUUUAAUUUUAGAAUUUUAGGAUAUGUCACGUGAAAACAGUAGUAAUUUUGGUACUUUGGCUAAGUUUUUUAGAUCAUGACUUGAUUAAUUAUUGUGCAGGGGUGACAAAUCAGCUUAAAUACAUGUAUCUUGUUACCUAUAAGUGGUGCGCAUGUUAAAAAGGUUAGGAAGUUAGAAUGAGGGUGUUAAGUAAGCCUGUGGGCAUGAAUUUACAAAAUUGUACAGUAAUUAUCAUUUAUAGACCCAGAGCGAGGGGGAUUCGGCGGAUUAUUACCCGAAGGGGGUUAUAUUGGGGGGAGGCUUUAAUUCGGAGGUUUACAGUGUGGCAAAAAAGCAAUAUGAAGGUAAUAUUUCGACGAAUCCCGCGUGCGGAGGGUCUAUAAAUGAUAUAUUAUACCGAAAGUUAAAGAACCCACUAAGUUCAGAAUAAACUUUAAAAUUUGCUGAAUAUUAACAAAGCGAAUACAAUUUUUAAUUUCUUAUGUAUAUCUGGGUUUUUGACGUUUUCUCUUUAAAAUAUUUGAGCAUGUAUCCUUUGGAUCAUUGAAGGUAACAUAUAUAUAUAUGUCGUGAAAAUCUUUGGUUAAAUCAAUAAAUCUUCUGUACGAAAUUACAAACAACAGUUCGCAAACGCCAUAUUGUUUCAGAACGUGUUGUCCACGCGUCACGCGUGAGAUACUAUAAUAUCCCACGGUGCAUCGUGGGAUAUUAUAGUAUCUCACGCUGCAUUGCGAAAUCAUGAAUUUGAGUGAAAUACCGUAAAAAUCACAUUGUUACGUGGUACAAAUGAUGUUUUUUCAUUGGACAAUUUGAAUUUGAGGUAUAAUAUUAAUAAAAAUACUGGUAACUGCUGGACUGUGGAAAGUUGUUAUUCAAUAAUAAUAAUACCAGACCGUAGUACCUUUACUCCCAGAAGAGAGUAAGGACUGGGAGUGAAAGAGACUUUUACUCCCAGUCGCAAACUACGAGUAGGAAUGGGUUUAACUUUAACUCAAUAAUAAAAUUUAAUGUUGGACAGCAGGACUGCAAACAAGUUAAAAACGUAUGAAGUGCGCAUUUGUAGGUAGGCAGCUGUUCCAACGGUCAUGCAUGUUUGAAAAACAAGCAUUUCAGAUGGCUAUAGUGCAUUUUACUGUAAUAUAGACAGCCAUAAAUGCUCUAUGCAAAUAUUUUCUUUGAUUUUCUUUAAAACUUUGUGAUAAUGCCGUGUAUGCUUCAAUACAUUAUAUAGCUAAAAACACAAGCACUAUUUUUUAACACAAUGCCGGAUUUUUACUCCGCAUUUGGAGACAAAAAGAUAUUCUAUCAAAUUUAGUGCUUAUUUUAUACUAAACUACUGUACAUUCCAUUGCCCGAACAAUUAUAUAACUAUCCAAGUUUCAAUACAGUAUUUGAAAUGAUCGGGGGAUGAGGAGCUUAAAAAUUUUACAUUGGUCAUUGUCAUGGUUGAAUUUUAAAAAAUUCUGCAUAAUCACAUAUACGUUUGUUGUCCCAGAUUAAUUUGCAGGGCUUUCAGCUCUGCGAUUCCGGUGCAGCGCUCUAACCAACUGAGCUGCAGAGGCCAGUUGUCGAGCUUUAACCACAAGUUUAUGUAUAUAUACUAGGGUAUUGCCAUGCAUAUGUUAUGGUAAAUAUCAAGAUUUUGUUGGCAUCUCACUCGACUUAACAAUUAGUCGCCGAAGGCUAGGUGAUUAGAAUACA
rnacentral:lncRNA from 1 species